UGCUUCCAGCAGGGUUUAGUUAACAGCUGCAGCACGUCUUUCUAAAGGCGACAGUCACGUGACUCGGCGUCAUACAUUCGGCGUCGCACAGCAGCUCGGGCGCUUGUUUUAUUUCUUAUUAUAUAUAUUUUUCAAACCGCAGUUGAUCGAUGCUCUUAAAACUGUGCUAUCAUCGUUAGAAAAUCUGUAUCGAGGAGUUUGACUGAUUUACAUCCACACAUCUGCAUCUGGGAGGCUCUGGAAUUAAAUGGUCAUGACUGAGCGAGUGUUUGUGUUUGUUGAUGAAGAGGAGCUUUUCGGCGUGAUGAAGGAUCUUGACUGUCUGUACUGCAGGAAUCCAGUGACUGCAUCUAAACAUCACCUCAAAAAGAGACAUCUCAGAUUCGCGGUGUAUUAUAAAGACUCUGGCAUUGGGAAGUUUUCUAUCCCCUGUUAUUGUUCUGAUGGAGGCCAUGGCAGGAGCCACUGGCAUUGCCCAAUGUGCUCAAAAAUAUUGCAAAGGACAAAGGAUUACAAAAUCCAUAUUACCAACCAUGGUGUUGAGAUGACUGACAAAUCCACAGUUGAGCUACAACCUACAACAGUCCUGUUGGAGAGCCAACAAACAGACAACGAAGACAAGACUCCGGGCAACAAGUCAGCGUGCCAAAAGUGUGGCAUCUUCUUUACCACCACAUCAAAUUUGAGACGGCACGAGAGGCUACAGCACAGCCAGAACCAGCAGCCCAUGUUAUGCAUAGAUGCCAAAAAUGCCAUCUAUGUUACACCUAAGGAUCUGCAUGGACCUAGAGUGCCCAUUCAUAUCCGCAAAUCCUUUGCCUUACAGAUACUGCUGUGUGAGCUGGAGGAAUGCUGGGAUUUCAUGAGAGCACAGGCCCAGAGCGGGAAUCCUGGUAAAGAGUGCCGUCACCUCGUGAGAACUAAUCACGCGCAGCACUACGUUCCCCCUCCACCGCUGUGUGUCAGCUCUCUGGAGGAGAUGACCGACAAACACCUCCUGUCCAUAUCGGAGAAACAAGAGUGCCAGGAGAUGAACUCCAGGGCAUGUUUAGAGGGAGCCGAUUGUGUGUACCCUAUUUUUUGGGGGGAGCAUGACCUUCCAGAGAGAUGUGUCUACUUUUCUGUGUACACAGACCUCAAGGACAAAUGGUGUCAGUUUGGGAGGACACGCGUCUCGUUUGACACCAAGUCUGGCAGCUGGAAGUGUCUAUGUGAACACAAAAGAAACCGUUGCGUCCACAAGCAUUUAUCUAUGUGGUGGUUGUUUCAGGAGCAUCCCAGAUUGUUGCAAAAUGCCCUAGAUAUCAACGCUGAAAGAGUCGACGUGGUCAUCGAUGAAGAGGUUAAAAUGUGUCCUGAGGGUGACGACCUCUGCUAGCUUCGACAUCCAUCAGAACUUCACUCUCGUGUUCUGUCUUCACUCAAUAAAAACACUUGCCAUACACUUUAUUUUGCCUUGUAGUUUGUUAACAGUUGGUUUGCAAAAAUUCAUGUGCAGUGCUGUGCUAUGUUUAGUGUUGUGGGAAACGCAUUACAAGUAACACUAAUUAUGUAAUCAGAUUACUUUUGUAAAGUAACUAGUAACAUAUUACUUUUACAUGUACAAUGACAUUUCUGAGUUACUUUGUCAAAUAAGUAACAAAAGUUAUUUUGGUACUUUGUCCUCAGCUCCUGUCCCCGUGUUGAGAGAAAUCAGAGGCACUUCCCUCAGCCUGAGGCUUAUUAUUUUCACUUUUGCUGUGAAAGGGCCAUUACAGUGCAGGUGACAAAAAGUAAUGCAAAAGUACGUAAUGCAUUACUUUCCAUGAACAGUAGUAACUAAGUAAUGCAAUUAGUUACUUUUUUUGGAGUAAUGCGAUGUUGUAAUGCAUUACUUUUAAAAGUAACUUUCCCCAACACUGUAAGUUUAUGACGUUGCCAUACUCAUUUUAUUAAUGAUAUCCAAGUUAUAUUUGUGGUGAAUAUUUCUUGAAAGGUGUCAUGAGAUUUAUUCAUGGAUUAUUCAACUGAAAAGCAAAAUGUGUGUUCUCGUGCUUUCAAAGCCAAAUGUAAUAAAUACUAAGUCCAAUAACAAUCUCAGUAAACUCUCUUUGUGGGGAAGUUUCACUUUAGGCUUUGUAUUAAAUGGUGAGUUGUGUGACAUGAUUGUGUGACCGAUUUACACAAAGUAUUGAUGAUGUUGUGUGUCUUAACUGAUUUUACACAACAUAAAUAAUGUUCAGUAUUAUGAUUUUUAAAAUGCA
ensembl:lncRNA uncharacterized LOC107555797